UACGUAGGGGGCGAGCGUUGUCCGAAUUUACUGGGCGUAAAGCGCGCGUAGGCGGACUUUUAAGUUGGUGGUGAAAUGCCGAGGCUCAACCUCGGAACUGCCUCCAAAACUGGGAGUCUUGAGGUUUGGAGAGGGAAGUGGAAUUCCUGGUGUAGCGGUGAAAUGCGUAGAUAUCAGGAGGAACACCCAUGGCGAAGGCAGCUUCCUGGCCAUAUCCUGACGCUGAGGUGCGAAAGCUAGGGGAGCGAACGGG
rnacentral:rRNA from 1 species